UAUGACAAUUAUGUGUCUUGGGGUUGCUCUUCUUGAGGAGUAUCUUUGUGGUGUGCUCUGUGUUUCCUGAAUUUGAAUGUUGACCUUUCUUGCUAGGUUGAGGAAGUUCUCCUGGAUAAUAUCCUGAAGUGUUUUUUCCAACUUGGUUCUAUUCUCCUUGUCACUUUCAGGUACACCAAUCAAAUGUAGGUUUGGUCUUUUCAUGUAGUCCCAUAUUUCUCAGAGGCUUUGUUCUUUCCUUUUCAUUCCUUUUUCUCUAAUCUUGUCUUCAUGCUUUGCUUUAUUCCAUUAAGUUGAACUUCAAUCUCUGAUAUCCUUUCUUCUGCUUGAUCGAUUCGGCUAUUGACAUUUGUGUAUGCUUCACGAAGUUCUCGUGCUGUGUUUUUAAGCUCCAUUAGGUCAUUUACAUUCUUCUCUAAACUGGUUAUUCUAGUUAGCAUUUCCUGUAAGCCUUUAUCAGGUUCUUUGCUUCCUUGUAUUGGGUUAGAACAUGCUCCUUUAACUCAAAGGAUUUUGGUAUUACCCACCUUCUGAAGCCUACUUCUGUCAAUUCAUCAAACUCAUUCUUCAUCCAGUUUUUUUCCCUUGCUGGUGAGGAGUUGUGUUCCUUUUGAAGAAAAGAGGCACUAUGAUUUUUGAAAUUUUCAGCCUUUUUGUGCUGUUUUAUCCUCAUCUUCGUGGAUUUAUCUAACUUUGGUCUUUGAUGUUGGUGACCUUCAAAUGGGGUUUUCUCCUCUUCAUCCUUUUUUUUUUUUUGAUGUUGAUGAUAUUGCUUUCUCUUUGUUAAUUUUCCUUUAACAGUCGGGCCCCUCUUCUGAAGGUCUGCUGGAGUUUGCUGGAGGUCCGCUCUAGAUCCUGUUUGCCUGGGUAUCACCAGCGGAGGCUGCAGAACAGCAAAGAUUGCUGCCUGCUCCUUCCUCUGGAAGCUUUGUCCCAGAGGGGCACCCACCAGAUGUCAGCUGAAGCUCUCCUGUAUGAGGUGUCUGUCGACCCCUGCUGGGAGGUGUCUCCUCGUCAGGAGGCUCAGGGGUCAGCGACCCACUUGAGGAGGCAGUCUGUCCCUUAGCAGAGCUCAAGCACUGUGCUGGAAGAUCCGCUGCUCUCUGCAGAGCCAGUAAGCAGAGUUGCCCUGUCCAGAGAGGAGGAAUCUAGAGACACAGUCUGACUACAGAGCCUUUGCUGCGCUGUGGUGGGCUCCGCCCAAUUUGAAAUUCCUGGUGGCUUUGUUUAUUUACACUCUGAGGGGAAAACUGCCUACUCAAGCCUCAGUAAUGGCGGAUGCCCCUCCCCCCACCAACCUUGAGCAUCCCAGGUUGACUUCAGACUGCUGUGCUGGCCGCGAUAAUUUCAAAUGUCUACUGUACACAACCCUGUCUGGGUAAAGACACUCAUGGGCAUCAUGAAGACAAUUAGGUCCUGGUGGAGAAGUGAGAAAUUUGGUAACAUUGGAAGAUGAACAAAAAGCAAUUUGAACGUUGGCCCAUUUUGUUUUAUUUUGUAUAAUUCCCUUUGAGCAUUUGUUUUGUUCUCCUUAGCAUGAACUGAGCAUUAACCUAGUAGGUCAUUUCUGUAGUUACUUUGCAACAUAGAUGCUUUUGGCAGUCUGAUAUAAUGUACUGACCCUUCUUAGAAUAAUACUUUGAAUGGAUAAAAUAAAAUAUAGAAGAUUACAAUGAAAACAAAUUGUAUUUAAAAGUACUUAUCAAAUUGUACAAAACAAAGUUUGUGAUAAAGAAAUAUACAUAUAUUUCUUUAUUAGUGCACUAAAUAGCAAGAUCUAAUUAUAGGUUUAAUAACCACCACAAUUUCAAAGUAGUGAUGAGCAAACAUGAUAUUCCAAGAUAUGUGCAACAACAGUAGUGUGAUGUGACCAUUUUGUAAUUUCUACUGACUAUAGAACUCAGACAUUAUCAAAACUAUUCUGAUUUGUUGCUUACAUUCAUAAUUGAAGGGAGAGCUAAGUUUCAGUUAAACGUUAGUAAAAGUAAAAAAUGUACUUUUUAUUCAUCUAUGUUCACAGAUACCUGCCUUAACCCCAGCAUGAGAGAGCCUUUAUAGUAAAUAUUUUAUAAUAUGGAAAAAUACCAUUGACAGGUAAAAUUAAAAAUGAAAAACAUCCCUCAAACAUAUUUGGUACUACAUACACCAAAUUGAUUGACGGAAAGCAGAACUAAAGUUGUAGGAGACCUUAUAAGCUAUUUAUUAUAUCCACUCUAUUUCAUAGCUUAUGGAUGCAGAAGUGAAAGGAAUUGUUUAUGGUCGCACAGUCAGGUAGUGGUGACAAACCAGAAUACAGAUCUCUUCAGUCCCAGAUCAAUGUUUUAAUUACUUUAAAUUAAUUUUGAAAUAUAGAUAUGUGACAGUUUUGCAAUCUCAUAAAGGUAAGUGAUCAACAAUAAGAGGCAGCAAUGCACUCUCUAUGCAUUUUACACUGAACUUAAGUCAUUGGUUUUAUUACACAGAUUACCAGACUAAAAGUUUAAUAUAGUCUGUUGUUUAGAGAGUAUCUCAAUUUUGGUCUAGUGUUUGGCAAAUAUCUAAGGAUAUUUCUAUUGAUAUGAUUGAGAAAGAAUGCACUUGACAGUGUAGCGAAGAUUUGUGAAUGGCUAAAGCCUCAUAACCAAGCAGAGUCAAUUAUGUCAACCUAGUUGGAGGUUUUUUAAAGUGUGCUGCAGGUGUUGGUCCUUAACUCUGACUCAAUAUUUUUAUUAAUAAUUUUUGGUGAGGACUUUAAUAGCAUAAAACAAUUGCAGAUGAUAAAAAACUGGGGCAGGGAGUGUAGAAUAAAUGAAUUAGAAAAUACACUCAGGAUCCCAGAACAUGUCCACAGGCUACACAAUGGUAGAUUGAGUAGAACCAGAUGGAAUUGAAGAGAGGUUUAUGUGAAGCUGCCAUUUGGUCUUGACAAUUGCACAGGCACAGAAUGGGAAAUUCUGGGGUGGCAUUGGUAUGUGAGGAAAAGUAAGGGAAGAAGGUGUUUCAGAAAAGCUCAGCAGUGGAAAGUGUAGCUAUAAAAGCUAUUGUGUGUUUGUUUAGCUAAGGUAACAACAACUGCUUUGAAUCAUAAUUCUAAAACCUCAGUCACUUAACACAGUGAAUUUUUUUCACCAAUAGAAAGUUUAAUAAGUGGUGACAGAGAAAGGUACUGAUCUUCACACAGUUACUGAGGGAUUCAGACUGACUGGAGGUUCUGCCAUGCUCAAAGUGUGACUCUCAAGAUCUUUAUGGGAGUUAAUACUCAGCUGGAAGAUUAGAAAAAAUAUGGAAGUAUUUACAUGCCAAGGCUAAAAGUGGUGAAUUAUCACUUCUACCUAUAUUCCAUUUCCUAGAAUUCAGUUAAAUGGCUAUACGCAGCAACAAGAGAGGCUAGAAAAUGUAGUUAAGUGCGUGACAAGCAGGAAAGUAAAACAUGUUAAAUGAACAUCCAGUCUGUCUUUGCCUUAAGCCAAAAUGGCUGAAAGUGGGUUAUGAUGGUUCUGAUCUCUUCUAACCUGACUGUGCACUUUAAAGGAGAAACAGACUAACUGGAUAGGAGUAAGUAGGCUGGAGACAAAGCUGGAUUUCAGGUUCCAUAAAUAGUGGUUGAAAGGAGCUGGAGCAGCAUGCCUAGAGAAGAAAGAGAAGGUUCAGAAAUGUGGUCUCCGUCUUCAGACCUCCGAAGAGCUGUCAUUGUAACGAAGAAGACAAGGUCUGCUGUGGCCUGAAUGUGUCCUCCCAAAUUCAUGUGCUAAAACAUAAUGGCCAAUGUGAUAGUAUUAAAAGGUAGAGCUUUUAGGCGAUAAAAUUAAGUCAUGAGGGCAGAACUCUUAUCGCUGAGAUUGGGGCUCUUAAGGAAGGGCUUGGGAGAGUCGGUUUGUUCUCUUCUGCUCUUCAUUAUGUGAGAGCACAUCAUUUAUCCCCCUUUUGCCUUAAAAAAUCCCUUCCACCAUAUGAGGAUGCAGCAAGAGUGCCCUCACUAGGAACUAAAUGCCAGCAACUGGAUAUUUUACUUCCCAGGUUCCAUAGCUGUAAGAAAUAAAUUUAUUUCAUUUAUAAAUUACCCAGUCUAUGGUAUAUUGUGAUAGAAGCAUGAAUGGACUAAGACAGGGACUGUGUGUUUGCAGGUGGUAGAGCUGGGACUUGUAGGUGAAAGCCACAGGGAGGCUGGUUUCAGCUCAAUAGAAGGAAGAAUUGUCAUCAGAUGAAAGAAGCUGCUUUUGGAAAUAGUGAGCUGUUCAACACCAGAGAUAUGCAAAGGUUGGAUGACGCAUCUCACAGGGAUAAUGUUGAAAUGAUUCCUCUAUUUUGUGGAAGAUUGCACUACUAGAUCUAAGACUCUUUCCACUUCUGAGAUGCUGUAAUUGUACAUUUUUUCCUGCUGUAAUUUUAGGCUUAUUUGUCUCUUUCUAGUAUGUGAAGAAGAAUACCAGCUGAAGAAAAUGAAUAAAAAUAAAAGUUUAUGAAAAAUAAAAAUCAGGACAAAAG
rnacentral:lncRNA from 1 species